CAGAAAGCAGAGCACAGUAUGUAAGAGGUGGGAAUAGUUAAGAGUGACUUCCAGGUUUCUGGUAUGAUUAGGUAAGCUAUCCAGAGCCCACAGGAGCAGGCUUGCCAUCCUCUUGCCUCAGCCUCCCAAGUAGCUGGGAUAACACUAGGGAACGGAGGUGAUGAUGAGCUGGUUUGAAAUGUGAAUUUUAAGGAUCUGAGGGACAUUCUAGUACAGGCAGCUGGAAGGCUUUAGGGUGUCCAGGUCCGAAGCUCUGACGACAGAUCUUGGUGAAGAACCAUUCGGGGUCAUCAGCCAAAAGUAUUGAAAUACCUGAUCAGAACUCAUCCAGGGAACACAGGCCUUAUGAGGAGGUCAGAGGACCCUGUAUUUAGGAUAUUCAGGAGCUGUUUGUUGAAAUGAACUGGUAUAUAUGAGAAAUAAAUUUGUUGUGCAACUCUUGGAGGAACCAGACAUAUAGCUUGAGUGUUGAUUUAGCCUUAUUGGAGCCCUGUGAUUUGGGCUACUCCUUCUCAGGAACAGAGAAGCAAAGAGAUCAGAUUGACAACUUUCUCAUUGCUGACUGAUGUGGGUUCCAGUAGGUGUGUCUUCUUUGGACCGUAUGCUUGUUGAAGAAUGGGUGACAGUUCUCAAACUCUUGUAUCUUGUCUGGGGUAGACAUUGUUAGAAGAGGAAAGCUUCUGGCUCAGCAUGGGUGAGGUUCUUAGAUGUCAUGGGUAAAGUAGUAACUGUGCAUCCUGGGAAUUGUUUAUUCACCGUGGGAGCUAGAACAGAUACAGUUGGCUCCUUUUGAUCUGU
rnacentral:lncRNA from 1 species